rnacentral:pre_miRNA from 1 species
ACAACAUUAGGACCGUCGGUCUACCGAGCAAUAUCACCCGCUCGGUGGAAGGUCUUUUCCUCCGUCGU